CCGAGUUUACAACUCCCAAACCCCUGUGAACAUACCUAUCGUUGCUUCGGCGGGAUGCCCCAGUUUGACGCAAGCUGGACCCAGGCGCCCGCCGGAGGACCCAAACUCUUGUUUUAUUUAUGUAUCUUCUGAGUAAACAAACAAAUAAAUUA
rnacentral:misc_RNA from 1 species